rnacentral:rRNA from 1 species
UACGUAGGGGGCAAGCGUUGUCCGGAUUUAUUGGGCGUAAAAGGCUUGUAGGUGGCCACGCCAAGUCGGAUGUGAAAUCUACCGGCUCAACUGGGAGGGGUCAUUCGAUACUGGUGGGCUCGAGGCCGGUAGGGGGAAGUGGAAUUCCUGGUGUAGCGGUGAAAUGCGCAGAUAUCAGGAGGAACACCGGUGGCGAAGGCGGGUCUCUGGGCCGAUACUGACGCUGAGGAGCGAAAGCGUGGGGAGCGAACAGG